rnacentral:rRNA from 1 species
AUGCCGCGCCACCUGCUGCAGCAGUCCGUCGACCGCCUGGCCGCGAUGGCCGCGCCGCCGGCGGCCGCCAUGGCCGGCGGUGGGACGAGCGCGCACACGGACACGGUCCUGAUCGUGAUUGCGGUGCUCUGCUUCCUGCUGUGCGUGGUCGGGCUGGCCAUGGUCGCGCGCUGCUCCCUGCUCUGCAACCCCUCCGCCUUCUCCGUCGACGGGCCGGCGGCCAAGGCGCCUUGCGGUGGCCUCGAGAAGAAGGCGCUGCAGUCGCUGCCGACCGUGUCGUGGAGGCCGCAACAGAGGGAGGUGGACGAGGAGGAGGGGGAGCGGCCGGAGUGCGCCAUCUGCCUGGCGGAGUUCGCGCGCGGCGACGAGGUGCGCGUGCUCCCGCACUGCGGCCACGGCUUCCACGCCGCCUGCGUCGACGUGUGGCUCCUCUCCAGCUCCACCUGCCCGUCCUGCCGCCGCGCCCUCGUCGUCGUGUCGCCGGCGCCGCCAACCACCCAUCCUCCCGCGGGUACGACGACGUGCUGUGCCGUGGCAGGCCGCUGCCGGCCGUCGUCAUCGUAG